UUCAGUUUCAUCAAACAUUGUUUUUCUCGCCAGAACUUUGUAACUGAAGAAGUUGAUUUCAGCCUUAACUUCCAUCAAUAAAUUAUUAGAGAUUAACGAUGGAAUUCAUUGGCAUCAAACCAUGAAUUUUUCAUCCUUCUAGCUUCCCUCAAGUCUUAACUAUUUUCAUACACUAUUUAUAUGGAGCUGAAGAGGACGGCUAUGUGCAUCAAAUCGUCACUGUCUUCUAUUAUACCUAAGAACCUGCAAGCAGGUUACAACAUGGCGAAUCCUCAACUGCCUCUUUCUGAGUUGGCUGGUCGGUACAAGGAAACCGGAUCCGUCUCCUGAUCAGUUUAUGGGAAGCAAGGAAUGUGGGGGAGAGCUGACGGGGAUUGACAUAUUUUGGCUGAUGAGAAGGUAUGUUAUCUACACUAUAUCUGUUCUUUCACAAACUCAGUAAUGAAAAACUGAAAAUAAUGUGUGACUGUGUUUUAUUGGGAUGUGGAGUCUAAUCUGAUCCAGGGAUCUAUGAGCUGAGAGGAGUAAUCAGUACUUCAAGCUCACCACAUCACCGCCUCUAUUAGAUUCACGCAACAUACCACCAUGGUCUAUAUUGCAGAAACCAUUAAUCCAUUACCAACGGAGGUCUUCAUGUUCCAUGAUUAGGAUGAGAUGGUGGUACUAGCAACACAGACACAUACUUACCAGGAUCGCAAUGCGCAACUCUACUUCACGAGAAAUUGGUGGCCUCAGGUGUUGAGCCCAAGGUGGUCGUCGCUACCAACGUGAAUCCUAAGCUGGUUGGAGGUUGUGUCUUCCUAAACGAGUGAGUGGCGCUGGCCAGAACGUUUUUGAAGCUUAAAAUCUAAACUCUCCAACCUUAUCUUUUAACCAAAAUUCUUUCUCCUGCUUAAAAUUUUUGAUUGAAACAAGAAAUUUUCCCAAGAUGUCUCAACUUCCCAAGUUCAAAGGUGUAAUAAUUUAAAGUUACUGGACAUACUGUUAUUGAAGUUGUUUUCUUGGUUUUCUA